AGCCCUAAAAUGUAUCUUCAUUUACAUAACCUAGAAAUAAUUAUUGAUCUUAUGCAAGGAAUCAGAGUUAGCCAGCUCCCCAACUCAAAUGGUUGACUUAUUAGGGCUUUGAAAAGUUGAGGAAACAAAUGAAGGAGAAUACACAAAAUGAAGGGCUACUGGGCCAUACUGAGGCCUAAACCCCGAGGAGAGUAGGCAUGAGCAGAAGAGUGCAUAAGUGAGCAGUAGGGCAUACAGGCAAUGUGCAGUCUUAGAAAAUGGCAUUACACUUUGACAAAUGGAUAGCGUAAACUGAGGAAUUUUCUUGUCAGUAUUGAGAUACUAUUCACCCAAUGAUGCUGAAGAAAAAUUCCAAGCCUUCAGUGAGCACAAAUCUCCUUAGAGCCGAAUUGUUGUGCUAUUGCUUCAUCUUCCUAAAAACAAAUCAAGAAAGAGAACAUGGUCAUCGUUGCAAGAAUCCAUACAAAAUUAACUGGAAGGUUGUUCAGAGCUAGGAAUCAAAAUCUAGUUUCCUGAGGAACUAUGAAGACACUCUCAACAUAUGUUCAACAAGAUGGGAAAAUGCAAUCAUCUCCUGAGACUGAAGCCCUGGUUCCCAGCUGGUUCAAAGUGGAUCUUAAAGGAGGAAAGUCAGCAGUGAGAGUCAGCAGCGAAUAAUUGAUUUUUAAGCCCUGGUUGAACAAUCCUGGAUGAGUUAGAAAGUCCUGAAAGUGGAUUUAUAAAGGAAAUGUUGACAGAGCUUGGAUUCUCAGAGAGCUGAUCCAUGCACUUGAUAACUCUUCACUGAGUCCCUACUACGCAUCAGCCGACUAAAGCAGUCUCUUCUUCAAGAAUCCCGCUGCUGUUGCACAUGUUGUGACUGUCAUCCUGAGGUUAGAAAAAGUGGUUUCACCCUGCACACCAUGUGGGUCUCCAUCG